UACGUAGGGCGCAAGCGUUCUCCGGAAUUAUUGGGCGUAAAGAGCUCAUAGGCGGUUUGUCGCGUCUGCCGUGAAAGUCCGGGGCUCAACUCCGGAUCUGCGGUGGGUACGGGCAGACUAGAGUGAUGUAGGGGAGACUGGAAUUCCUGGUGUAGCGGUGAAAUGCGCAGAUAUCAGGAGGAACACCGAUGGCGAAGGCAGGUCUCUGGGCAUUAACUGACGCUGAGGAGCGAAAGCAUGGGGAGCGAACAGG
rnacentral:rRNA from 1 species